GGAGUCUGGACCGUGUCUCAGUUCCAGUGUGGCUGAUCAUCCUCUCAGACCAGCUAUCCAUCGUCGACUUGGUGGGCCAUUACCUCACCAACUAUCUAAUGGAACGCGAACUCAUCCUUCCGCAUACGGUCCCGAAGGAUCCCGUACUUUUCCCGCACGCCCGGUUGACUUGUGGGCUUAUCCGGUAUUAGCAGUCCUUUCGGUCUGUUAUCCCGGUCGGAGGGGCAGAUUAUUCACGUGUUACUCACCCGUGCGCCGCUUUACUCAGGGCCGAAGCCCCUUUCACGCUCGACUUGCAUGUGUUAGGCCUGCCGCCAGCGUUCGUU
rnacentral:rRNA from 1 species